rnacentral:rRNA from 1 species
UGGGGAAUAUUGGACAAUGGGCGCAAGCCUGAUCCAGCAAUGCCGCGUGUGUGAAGAAGGCCUUCGGGUUGUAAAGCACUUUUAUCAGGAGCGAAAUGCCAUGGGCUAAUACCCCGUGGAGCUGACGGUACCUGAGGAAUAAGCACCGGCUAACUUCGUGCCAGCAGCCGCGGUAAUACGAAGGGUGCAAGCGUUAAUCGGAAUUACUGGGCGUAAAGGGUGCGUAGGCGGUUCGUUAAGUCUGCCGUGAAAUCCCCGGGCUCAACCUGGGAAUGGCGGUGGAUACUGGCGAGCUAGAGUGUGUCAGAGGAUGGUGGAAUUCCCGGUGUAGCGGUGAAAUGCGUAGAGAUCGGGAGGAACAUCAGUGGCGAAGGCGGCCAUCUGGGACAACACUGACGCU